UACGUAGGGCGCAAGCGUUGUCCGGAAUUAUUGGGCGUAAAGAGCUCGUAGGCGGUUUGUCGCGUCUGCUGUGAAAACCUGAGGCUCAACCUCGGGCUUGCAGUGGGUACGGGCAGACUAGAGUGCGGUAGGGGUGACUGGAAUUCCUGGUGUAGCGGUGGAAUGCGCAGAUAUCAGGAGGGAACACCGGUGGGCGAAGGCGGGUCU
rnacentral:rRNA from 1 species